rnacentral:tRNA from 1 species
GGGGUCGUAGCUCAAUCAGCAGAGCGGCUGCCUUGCACGCAGCAGGCUGCGGGUGCAAUUCCCGCCGACUCCA